GGGUCAGUAGGUUGGUCGUGCCAGCGGUACGUACUGGUCUCACCGAUUCCUCCUUCCUGAAGUACCGUAAUGCCAUUAAUUUGGUGUUGCGGGGAAUCAGGACUGUUACUUUGAAAAAAUUAGAGUGUUUAAAGCAAGCUAACGCUUGAAUACAUUAGCAUGGAAUAAUGAAAUAGGACGAUCGAUCCUAUUUUGUUGGUUUCUAGGAUUGACGUA
rnacentral:rRNA from 1 species